rnacentral:rRNA from 1 species
UACGGAGGGGGCUAGCAUUGUUCGGAAUUACUGGGCGUAAGGCGCGCGUAGGCGGAUCUGCAAGUCGGGGGUGAAAUCCCGAGGCUCAACCUCGGAACUGCCUUCGAUACUGCGGGUCUCGAGUCCGGGAGAGGUGAGUGGAAUUCCUAGUGUAGAGGUGAAAUUCGUAGAUAUUAGGAAGAACACCAGUGGCGAAGGCGGCUCACUGGCCCGGUACUGACGCUGAGGCGCGAAAGCGUGGGGAGCAAACAGG